rnacentral:lncRNA from 1 species
CUGGUAUGUUCCUUCCUGGGUGACUCUCACUGUUUGUCGAAGCUCCCUGGGCUUCGCUGAGCUAUAGGACUCAGCAUCGUGAAGGCCCUUUUGUCUGUUGACGCUCCACUCCGUGGAGUGAAGGGUGAAGAGCACAGAGACUAGUAUUGUCAUGAAACAGGGUCCAAAGAUGUUCCCAAGGCAGAGAUGUAGAACCUAAACCUACCCUACCGGAGAAAUCAGUUGCAGGUUACACCCACUUACCCAGCCAGCUGCUCAUGCCCAGUCUCUUGCAUCACACUCGUAGAAAAAUAAUGGCCCAUUUAAUAGGAAAGUGUCUCAUCGUCUGCCUCUUAAUUGCUCCCCUCCAUCUUUGCUAAUGGCCCGGUUCAUGAAGUCAACCCCAUGGAGACUACUGAAGGUAGAUUGUGACUUUGUGAGCUCUUACAUUCUACUCCCCCCCCCCGCAAAGA